UACGGGGGGUGCAAGCGUUACUCGGAAUCAUUGGGCGUAAAGGGCGCGUAGGCGGCCAAGUAAGUCAGGUGUGAAAGCCCGGGGCUCAACCUCGGAAGUGCAUUUGAUACUGCUUGGCUUGAGUAUGGGAGAGGGAAGUGGAAUUCCUGGUGUAGAGGUGAAAUUCGUAGAUAUCAGGAGGAACACCGGUGGCGAAGGCGACUUCCUGGACCAAUACUGACGCUGAGGCGCGAAGGCGUGGGGAGCAAACAGG
rnacentral:rRNA from 1 species